GACGAACGCUGGCGGCGUGCCUAAUACAUGCAAGUCGAGCGGACGGAUGGGAGCUUGCUCCCAGACCGUCAGCGGCGGACGGGUGAGUAACACGUGGGCAACCUGCCUGUAAGACUGGGAUAACUCCGGGAAACCGGGGCUAAUACCGGAUAACUCUUUCCCUCACAUGAGGGAAAGCUGAAAGAUGGCAUCUCGCUAUCACUUACAGAUGUGCCCGCGGCGCAUUAGCUAGUUGGUGAGGUAACGGCUCACCAAGGCGACGAUGCGUAGCCGACCUGAGAGGGUGAUCGGCCACACUGGGACUGAGACACGGCCCAGACUCCUACGGGAGGCAGCAGUAGGGAAUCUUCCGCAAUGGACGAAAGUCUGACGGAGCAACGCCGCGUGAGUGAUGAAGGUUUUCGGAUCGUAAAACUCUGUUGUCAGGGAAGAACAAGUACCGGAGUAACUGCCGGUACCUUGACGGUACCUGACCAGAAAGCCACGGCUAACUGCGUG
rnacentral:rRNA from 1 species